UUUUGAGUCAUCAUUUUUAGAGUACCUUGAUUGUUUCCGGAAGUUUACCAAGUUCUUCUCGGAAUGUUGGAUGUCGUUCUUUCUCACGUAACGAUUGUAACGUUUAACGAACAACCCCAUAUCUUCGCUCUUGUCCUCUUCUUCUUCGUCGCUCGAGGAAUAAUCACUUUGCUCUUUUUCUUGAGACUUCGAGGAGGAAGUCUUAAGAG
rnacentral:lncRNA from 1 species